UCCUGGCUCAGAUUGAACGCUGGCGGCAUGCCUUACACAUGCAAGUCGAACGGCAGCACGGGAGCAAUCCUGGUGGCGAGUGGCGAACGGGUGAGUAAUAUAUCGGAACGUGCCCAGUAGUGGGGGAUAACUGCUCGAAAGAGCAGCUAAUACCGCAUACGACCUGAGGGUGAAAGGGGGGAUCGCAAGACCUCUCGCUAUUGGAGCGGCCGAUAUCAGAUUAGCUAGUUGGUGGGGUAAAGGCCUACCAAGGCAACGAUCUGUAGUUGGUCUGAGAGGACGACCAGCCACACUGGGACUGAGACACGGCCCAGACUCCUACGGGAGGCAGCAGUGGGGAAUUUUGGACAAUGGGCGCAAGCCUGAUCCAGCAAUGCCGCGUGCAGGAAGAAGGCCUCGGUUGUAAC
rnacentral:rRNA from 1 species